CACCAGCUCGCAUUGAUCGCCAUGGAGCUGCCUGGCCCUGAGUCGCAUCUGGAGGAGUGUCACAGCGGCGAGGUGGAACUUGGGAGACAAAAUCAGAAAAGGAGAACACAGGACAAAACUUGGACUGAGGGUAGAAUGGUGCACCAAAGCAAGAGACUCUAUGGAGUUUGUUAUGAAAAGAUCUGAAUGAUUGAUAGUGUCUUUAAGUCUUUAAAUCCAUAAUUAGAGAACUGAGACUUCCAUCCAUGUCCAUGUACAACUGAGAGGGGAAAAUUACUAACAUAAAGAGCUAAGUGAAUGAGUAUGGGAAUCCAAGUAGCAGAUGGCUCUAGUAGUUUUUAGCAGGUGUUCAUUUACAUAUACUGGCCAUAAUCUCCCUCUCCGUUCUUCUAGCCUGCUCUAACUUGAAUGCACAUUUAGAGUCUAGGCUAUGGGAUCUAGUUUAAAAAAAAAACAAUGUGCUAAAUAUAAAGUCUUAGGCUCUAUUUAUGAGCUUGUCUUUUUUUUUUUUUUUAGUUUGUCUUUUAUAUUAAAUAGAUGCUCUUAGGCAUGUCCUUUAAAUGUUGUGAAUAUAUUUUUUAAUUUAUUUUAUUUAUUUUUUUCCCUUUUGUUGCCCUUGUUGUUUUAUUGUUGUAGUUAUUAUUAUUGUUGUUGUUGUUGUUGUUGGAUAGGACAGAGAGAAAUGGAAAGAGGAGGGGAAGACAGAGAGGAGGAGAGAAAGAUAGACACCUUCAGACCUGCUUCACCGCCUGUGAAGCAACUCCCCUGCAGGUGGGGAGCUGGGGUUCGAACCGGGAUCCUUAUGCCCAUCUUUGUGCUUUGCGCCACCUGCGCUUAACCCGCUGCACUACAGCCCGACUCCCGAAUAUCUUUUUUUUUAACAUUCUU